UUCCCGGCUCUUUUCAGAGCCACUCACUAUCGAUUUUCCCUCCUUU
rfam:Phlebotomus papatasi Contig43716.1, whole genome shotgun sequence.